AUUGUAUGCAACUUUUUCAAGACUAACUAUAGCAUAUUGUGCCUGUAUUGUACCUUUAGUCUUCACAUUUGGAAAUGGUUUAGAUUUUUAUUAUAAUCUGAUGACUGCAAGGUGGUUUCAACGACUAUCAAAAAUAUCUUAUUCAAUAUAUAUUACUCAGUUUGCAAUGUUUCUGUAUGAGAUUGGAACAUCAAGGCUAACGAAUGAUUUAUCCGUUUACAUUUUAUUCAAAUACUUUUUGGGAGAUGCAGUGUUUAUAGUGUUGCUGGGUUUAUUUUUCGCUAUUUUAAUAGAGUAUCCGUUUAAAAAUUUUGGAAAUUUGGUCCUGAAAAGGAAGACAAUAAGGAAGCAGUCAGGGAUUAUUCAAAAAAAGGAGAAAUAAAUAUGAAUUAAUUAUAUUAUAUCUUAAUUUAUUAUCACAUAAAAUCUGUACAUUUUUAAAAAUGACACAUUACUCCAACUAUUAAAAGCAUCAGCCUACAUGCAUUUAAUUAUUGUAAUCGAAAAUUAGACUUUCAUGUGCGAAGUUUUCUGAAUGAAAUAAAUGUGAUAAUUUUACAUUUAUAAUAAUUAAGAACUAUUUUUAUAUUUCAAUAUUUUGAAAAUCUAAGAAUCGAAAAAUUAUUAAUGUAAGAGGCCGGAAGGUCAUCUUAUACACCGUUACCAAUUGUAAUGAAGAUCCAUGGAUUGCUACGUAACCUGAAAACCCUGUAAAUGUCAGGGAACCAUGGCAGAGUCAACCUCCAAAGGAGGUCCAAUUUUCUACACAAGAGAAAAUCGAUUGCGAAAAGGCAAUCAAUGUUCUAAUUGGGAAAAAAGCAGUCUCCAAAUGUUCACCUGACAAAAAAAAAUUUAUUUCCACAUUUUUUCUCACCUAAAAAUCAAAUGGGAAAAAAAAAUUCAUUCUAAAUUUAAAAAAAUUGAAUGAAUUUUUAGAUCCUCCCUAUUUUAAACUCGAAGACAGGAAGACAGUUUCUAGAAUGCUCUUUGAAAACGCUUUUAUCCCUACAUAAAACGUCGCAUUCAAAAGUAUUUAAAUGUAUUGAUAGUUUGAAUGCGUUUUUAAUCCCGUUUUCUGAUGCGUCGAAACGCCAUUAAAAAGUAUUAAAAUGUAUUCAACUUCAUCAAGUUUAAUGCGAAUUACAUUCUUUAAAUUGCAUUAAAAUGUAUUGAUUGUUAUUUUGAACGAAUCUUGUAUAAUAAAGUAAUAUUUAAUCGCAUUCAAACGAAAGUGAUAAACUGUAUUAAAUAGCAUUCAUAUUUCCUAAGAAUUUCUCUUGUAUACAGUCGCAUUCAAUUGCAUUGAAAGUUAUGCAAAGUUCCAUAAUAAAAAGUAUUCAUAUUUUUUUGUAUUUUUCGUGUAUUAAAUCACAUUUCUUUCAAAGCGAUAAACAGUAUUAAAUAGUAUUCACAUUCUUUUAAAAUUGCUCUUGUAUUCACUGGCAUUCAGUUGCAUUAGAUGUAAUGUGAGCUUUCACAUUAAAAAGUAUUAACUUUGUGUUUGAAUGCGUAAUUGUCGAAUAACGCGAUUCAAGGCAUGUUAUCACCAAUGCAAAGCAAUACUUUUGAAUACGACAGUUUAUGUAGGGAUGGCCACUUUAGAUUUAUCUGAUGCCUUUCUUUUAAUUCCAGUGACAGAAACAGACAGAAAUAAAACUAGCCAUAAAACUUAGGUUCCAGUCGCCUUUCUCGGUAAUUUAUCAAGAUGAUUUUCUCCUAAUUGGGAAAACAAAAGAUCAAUGCCUAAAAAACAUCAUUGUAACAAUCCUGCGAUUUAAAAAGAAAACAAAAAAUAAUUAAAAAGCGUAAUGAGGAGACACUGGGAAGUACGCCCCUUAGUGUGAGAGGAACAAGUGUUUUGGUGCAAGCUUUAGAAAAUCUGUGGAUCGGAUCGGGCAACUAGCGUUACUACAAUUCAUCUAUAGGACGAGACUCACUGGCAUAAUUUCCAUUGAACGCCACUUAGGUAUUAUAAGACACAUCAAUCUGUAAAAGCUCGCAGCAUAAGGCAAAUAUCCCUUAAUACUGCAAAAAAUAUGCUGAGAUGGUAUUUUAAAAUCAGCAUUAAAGCAGAAAUUACACAUAAUUAUAUAUUAGCAUUCUCAAGCUUGCUACGAAAAAGCAAAAAGAAUUUUAAAGCAGCUGAAAACUUAUUGGAAAGUUGUGAGGACUUCACUUUACAAGAGCGUAAAGAAAUAAAAGCAAAGUUGAAAGAAAAACUCCAGCAACGUUACCAAAAAACAAAUAAGAAAUUGAUUGUGAAUACGCAAUAUCCAUAACUUUUUUGCAUCAAUUGAAGUUAUUUAUUCCAAAAAUUUGCAGAGCAAUGAUUGGAAAAGUUAAUUAACAGCGUGCUAAAUAUUUUCUAUGUAAAAUAAAUAAAUUUUCUUUCAA